ACACUUCCAAUGAAAGGCCUUUUUGUUACAAAACUUGAAAGCAAUGAAGGUAAGUAAAUUGCAAAUUAAAAAUUACAAAAUGUCCUCAAUUUUGGUGGUUGUUCUCUCUUUGGUGAUUCACUCAAUUUGGAGUACUUCUUAGUCCAAUAGCUCUUAAGGGGGUUGGUCCCUUGCUUCUUGACUCAAAUUCUUCAAGGGAUGACACCAAUCCUCCUUUCCAAUUCCCUAUAUGGCAACUCACAAACAAGGAAACAAAGAGACAAGCAAUAACCAAAGACAAAAAAAAAA
rnacentral:lncRNA from 1 species